rnacentral:rRNA from 1 species
AAUGAACGCUGGCGGCAUGCCUUACACAUGCAAGUCGAACGGCAGCAUGACCUAGCUUGCUAGGUUGAUGGCGAGUGGCGAACGGGUGAGUAAUGCAUCGGAACGUGCCUUUUAGUGGGGGAUAACGUAGCGAAAGUUACGCUAAUACCGCAUAUUCUCUGAGGAGGAAAGCAGGGGACCUUCGGGCCUUGCGCUAGAAGAGCGGCCGAUGUCGGAUUAGCUAGUUGGUGAGGUAAAGGCUCACCAAGGCAACGAUCCGUAGCGGGUCUGAGAGGAUGAUCCGCCACACUGGGACUGAGACACGGCCCAGACUCCUACGGGAGGCAGCAGUGGGGAAUUUUGGACAAUGGGCGCAAGCCCGAUCCAGCCAUGCCGCGUGAGUGAAGAAGGCCUUCGGGUUGUAAAGCUCUUUCGGCUGGGAAGAAAUCGCACCCUCUAAUACAGGGUGUGGAUGACGGUACCAGCAUAAGAAGCACCGGCUAACUACGUG